UACGGAGGGUGCGAGCGUUGUCCGGAAUCAUUGGGCGUAAAGGGCGCGUAGGUGGCCCGGUCAGCGUGCGGUGAAAGCUCGGGGCUCAACCCCGAGUCGGCCGUGCGAACUGCUGGGCUUGAGCACUGUAGAGGCAGGCGGAAUUCCGGGUGUAGCGGUGGAAUGCGUAGAGAUCCGGAAGAACACCGGUGGCGAAGGCGGCCUGCUGGGCAGUGGCUGGACACUGAGGCGCGACAGCGUGGGGAGCAAACAGG
rnacentral:rRNA from 1 species